rfam:Myotis lucifugus cont2.4842, whole genome shotgun sequence.
GGCAGUUCUUGGAUGAUGCACCCUGGAGUCAGGCUCCCUCCUCUCUGGAUCCAGGUGUAUCACCCGAGAACUGUA